rnacentral:rRNA from 1 species
AGAGUUUGAUCAUGGCUCAGGAUGAACGCUAGCUACAGGCUUAACACAUGCAAGUCGAGGGGAAACGACAUCGAAAGCUUGCUUUUGAUGGGCGUCGACCGGCGCACGGGUGAGUAACGCGUAUCCAACCUGCCCACCACUUGGGGAUAACCUUGCGAAAGUAAGACUAAUACCCAAUGACGUCUCUAGAAGACAUCUGAAAGAGAUUAAAAGAUUUAUCGGUGAUGGAUGGGGAUGCGUCUGAUUAGCUUGUUGGCGGGGUAACGGCCGCCAAGGCUACGGAUCAGUGGGGUUCUGAGAGGAAGGUCCCCANAUUGGAACUGAGACACGGUCCAAACUCCUACGGGAGGCA